UUGCUGAGCGCCAUUCUCUAGGUGCUUUCCGGUUGGGAGAGGAAAGAACUGAAGACACCGUGCAGACCUCACCAGGUGGAGGAGCCAGACCUGAACGUGAAUGAUGGCGACACUGCGCGGCGGGGACCCCCAGGUGCCGCUGAAGCGCUGCCGGAGCACAGCAGAAGGAGCAGUGCGCGCUUGGGGUGGCCGGCCCAGGGACGGCUUCAGAGGACAUGGCAGAGCAGGACUGGCUCCACUGGACGUUAACCGAGCGCCUGCCACGUCCCAGGCUCUCUUCAUAUACUGUCACUUCUCCUUCCCACAAGGACUUACAGAGGUAGUCAUUUAUGUCCAUUUUACAGAUGAGAAAACUGAGGACUAGAAAGGUAAGGUAACUUGCUCAAGGUCACACAGCUAGUCAGUGAUGGUGCUGGGGUCUCAACUCCUAGCUCUUGCUAACUUCACAGGGGAUGGACUUUCCACUGUGUCCUGAUAUUUGCGAAGUCUUGAAAGACGUGUAGGAAUUUACCUGAGUGGAACAAGGGGAUAAGGAGCAUCCAGGCAAAAGUAACAGUAUUUGUUAUUCAAGAGCUGAGGUAUAACGAAAAUUAUAAAGCAAAGCACGUUUGAGCAACUGUAAAGAUGAAAUCAUAAGCGUGUAAUUAUAACCACGUGACUGACUUGAAUAGGGUCGUGUGCAAAUCCCUUUGCUUGGUCGAUUGAUGAUAAUUUCUAACAGGCCCAAGUUCUUGCUGACUGAAUCUUGAGGUUAACUUUCCGGACAUUCCCCGGGAAGCAGGGUGAGAUCCGCGCGCACGCCCGCCUCUGGCCCUGUCCCGGGGGUUCCGCGGGCUCCUGGGAUUCUCCGGUAUAGAAGCGUUAGCGCUGGAUCCGGCUUGAGCUGGCCUCAAGUGAUUUUCAAAAAACUGUUUCCAGUGCAACUACCAUCAGAACGUGGAUUAAGCACAGCGUUUGUUUGCAAGUCUGCAUCCGCCCUGCGGUAGGGAGGCUUUUUGUCUCCGAGGGCCUCGUCGGUACUCAGCGUUUGUUGACUGAAGCAGGGACGGCCCCGGGAGGGCGGCGCCGGCCGCAGGACCGACGUUGAGCAAGGCCCGCCGGACCUUAACCCCGGCUCUUCCUGCCGCUCCCGCCUCCCGCCGCCGAGC